UUGCUGGUCUUUGGCAGCAUAUAUACUAAAGUUGGAACAAUACAGAGAAGAUUAGCAUGGCUCCUGCCCAAGUAGUGCUUUUUUAAGGAGAAAAGGGGAAGUGUGUG